CUCUGGCGGCAUUGCCGUCAUGAUGCUAACCCGAGAACAAAUUUAUGUGCAUAUUGAGGAACCGCAUUGGAAGGUGCGUGUUAGCUUGUCGUGCUCCUAGUAAUGCCCUCGAGUCGCGGGGUUGAGCGCGUGAGCUUGCUUUCGCGAGCGACUUUCAUUGUGAUGGUCUUGAACUAGGCUCCGUUUGGACCUAGGACGGGCCAUGACGAUAGAUCGCAAAAGCACCUCCCCUUGGGUCCCCCGGAUAAACUCUCGAGUUUAUCCAAUGGGUGUGGCUGGAGGGCAACCUCGACAACCCAAACAAAAAACAUGCAACCCCUUCUUUUAAACCGAUCAUCCUGAUCGCAUUGAAAACCGUGGCCAUUACAGCCCGCGUUUCAAAAUCAAUCUAAACAACUCUCAACAACGGAUAUCUUGGCUCUCGCAACGAUGAAGAACGCAGCGAA
rnacentral:misc_RNA from 1 species